rnacentral:piRNA from 1 species
AAACGAUGGAUUUAUGGACAAGCACUUUA